AUAUUUGGUAUUAUCUAUACAGUCAUGUUCCCAGAGUAUCCAGAUAUCUACAACUUUACUCAAGAAAUCAAGGCAACAUUCAAUCAUAACUGUAUGCUGCCUGGAAUACGAUUACUGGAUAGUGGGAAUGGAGACUUUUUUUCAUCUAUUUAUUCCGGGGAGCGAUGUUCCUCUAUCUGUCUGGAAAGACCUACUUGUAAUUCAUGGACUAUAGACUUGGGUAAGUUUUCUUUAAACAGUUUACAAUAUCCCACUGGAACGACAUAUAACUGUAUGGUACAGUGCUGUUUCAAAGAAUGAGAAGUUAAGGACAACCAAAAACCCUUUUUUUUCUAAAGGUUGGCUUUUAUCCUCAAUCUUGAAUAUAGUAUUUUAAUGGUGUACUUAAUAAUUUUGGUCAAGAAGGAACAAUCAGUAUCAGCGGAAAUACUGUUUAGUCAUCACUUCUUAUCCUUUGUAGGUAGCCCUGCACGCACAUUCCAAACCUGCACACCCAUUUUCAGGGGUGUAUAUUUUUAAGAAAUUAAGAAUAUAUUUUUACCCAAACAUCUGUUUAUUUUCCACUAAAAAUUAUUUAUUUCCCAGUGGAAUUUUAAUACAAAAUAAAUAAUCUAAAUAACCUGUGUUCCAGUUUGAGCGCCGGAUUAAAUUUUGAAACAGAGGGAGGGAUGGCAACCACACCAAUUUGUAUUCCCGAAAGGGAAGGUAUACUACAUAGUAUGCAACAGUAUCCCUAGCA